UACGUAGGGUGCGAGCGUUGUCCGGAAUUAUUGGGCGUAAAGAGCUCGUAGGCGGUCUGUCGCGUCGGGUCGUGAAAACUUGGGGCUUAACCCUGAGCUUGCGGUCGAUACGGGCAUGACUGGAGUUCGGUAGGGGAGACUGGAAUUCCUGGUGUAGCGGUGAAAUGCGCAGAUAUCAGGAGGAACACCGGUGGCGAAGGCGGGUCUCUGGGCCGAUACUGACGCUGAGGAGCGAAAGUGUGGGGAGCGAACAGG
rnacentral:rRNA from 1 species